rnacentral:rRNA from 1 species
UACGGGGGGGGCAAGCGUUGUUCGGAAUUACUGGGCGUAAAGAGCGCGCAGGCGGUCGUUCAAGUCGAGUGUGAAAGCCCCCGGCUCAACUGGGGAGGGUCAUUCGAUACUGAUCGACUCGAAGGCAGGAGAGGGAAGUGGAAUUCCCGGUGUAGUGGUGAAAUGCGUAGAUAUUGGGAGGAACACCAGUGGCGAAGGCGGCUUUCUGGUCUGCUCUUGACGCUGAGGCGCGAAAGCUAGGGUAGCAAACGGG